rnacentral:rRNA from 1 species
UACGGGGGGGGCAAGCGUUGUUCGGAAUUACUGGGCGUAAAGGGCUCGUAGGCGGUCUGUCACGUCGGGAGUGAAAACUCAGGGCUUAACCCUGAGCCUGCUUCCGAUACGGGCAGACUAGAGGUAUGCAGGGGAGAACGGAAUUCCUGGUGUAGCGGUGAAAUGCGCAGAUAUCAGGAGGAACACCGGUGGCGAAGGCGGUUCUCUGGGCAUUACCUGACGCUGAGGAGCGAAAGUGUGGGGAGCGAACAGG